rnacentral:rRNA from 1 species
GUCUAGGGCCAUACCACCCUGAACGCGCCAAUCUCGUCUGAUCUCGGAAGCUAGGCAGGGUCAGGCCUGGUUAGUACUUGGAUGGGAGGAUCUGCAUCAGACUCAGAAUCCACCAGCCCCUGUGGCUUGGACC